rnacentral:rRNA from 1 species
GUAGGUGGCAAGCGUUGUCCGGAAUUAUUGGGCGUAAAGCGCGCGCAGGCGGUCCUUUAAGUCUGAUGUGAAAGCCCGCGGCUCAACCGUGGAGGGUCAUUGGAAACUGGGGGACUUGAGUACAGAAGAGGAAAGCGGAAUUCCAAGUGUAGCGGUGAAAUGCGUAGAGAUUUGGAGGAACACCAGUGGCGGAGGCGGCUUUCUGGUCUGUAACUGACGCUGAGGCGCGAAAGCGUGGGGAGCAAACAGGAUUAGAUACCCUGGUAGUCCACGCCGUAAACGAUGAGUGCUAAGUGUUAGGGGGUUUCCCGCCCCCUUAGUGCUGCAGCUAACGCAUUAAGCACUCCGCCUGGGGAGUACGGCCGCAAGGCUG